rnacentral:rRNA from 1 species
UGAACCACCUUCGGGUGGGGAUUAGUGGCGAACGGGUGAGUAACACGUGGGCAAUCUGCCCUGCACUCUGGGACAAGCCCUGGAAACGGGGUCUAAUACCGGAUACUGACCCGCCUGGGCAUCCAGGCGGUUCGAAAGCUCCGGCGGUGCAGGAUGAGCCCGCGGCCUAUCAGCUUGUUGGUGAGGUAACGGCUCACCAAGGCGACGACGGGUAGCCGGCCUGAGAGGGCGACCGGCCACACUGGGACUGAGACACGGCCCAGACUCCUACGGGAGGCAGCAGUGGGGAAUAUUGCACAAUGGGCGCAAGCCUGAUGCAGCGACGCCGCGUGAGGGAUGACGGCCUUCGGGUUGUAAACCUCUUUCAGCAGGGAAGAAGCGCAAGUGACGGUACCUGCAGAAGAAGCGCCGGCUAACUACGUGCCAGCAGCCGCGGUAAUACGUAGGGCGCGAGCGUUGUCCGGAAUUAUUGGGCGUAAAGAGCUCGUAGGCGGCUUGUCGCGUCGGUUGUGAAAGCCCGGGGCUUAACCCCGGGUCUGCAGUCGAUACGGGCAGGCUAGAGUUCGGUAGGGGAGAUCGGAAUUCCUGGUGUAGCGGUGAAAUGCGCAGAUAUCAGGAGGAACACCGGUGGCGAAGGCGGAUCUCUGGGCCGAUACUGACGCUGAGGAGCGAAAGCGUGGGGAGCGAACAGGAUUAGAUACCCUGGUAGUCCACGCCGUAAACGGUGGGCACUAGGUGUGGGCGACAUUCCACGUC